AUUAGUACCAGAGUAAAACAAUCAAUGAUUUGUGUUUGGGAAUAUUUCUAGUUGGCAUUAACGUUGUUAGGAGAUAGCUUAGCUCUUCACUGGGGGCCCACUGAAUUAUCGGAACCCUGGAACACAAAUGUGUCAAAAGGGUGUAAUCAAAAUUAUGUCAGGGAAUGUUAAGUUUCUAGUCUUUGGUCACUGAGGCCUAUCAGUAGGUUUGGGUGUUUUGUUUUGUUUUUCCCACAAAGAGGCUUUGAGUAAGAAUUGUGUCUGGUAGACAAACACAGGUACACACACAGGUGUGUACUCACACAGCAAGAGCAGUAGAGAUCAUCUCCCACAACACAAGAGCUCAUGAAGAAAGGGAAUUGAGCUUCAAUGUAAGCAUUAGUUUAGCAUUUUUGGAGCCUGAAUGUGUUGACUUUACAAAUUAAGAAGUCCCUGAACAAAAACGUCAAAAACAAAUCCCAAGUUGCAGUCUGCCCAGGUAAUUCAUGUCUAUCAAGUGUCUACAAUACCAAUUUCUACAUCUUUGGGAGUAUUUUAUAGGUUUGUUUGAAGAGCAAGGUCAAUAACUCUUUCCCCAAGAAAUAAAUGAAAUCAUAAAAAAAAAA
rnacentral:lncRNA from 1 species